rnacentral:misc_RNA from 1 species
AUUUCUCCUGUUCCUAUUCAUCUCAGUAUCUACUCUCCAAAUGUUGUCGACUUGACAUUGAUAGAUUUGCCCGGUUUAACAAAGGUUGCAGUAGAGGGACAGCCAGAGAGCAUAGUUAAGGACAUUGAAAAUAUGGUUCGUUCAUAUGUUGAGAAGGUAACUGGAAAAAUGAUUUUUUAAUAAAUGCAUUGAUAAAAAAAUUGCUAAGCCCUGCUGCCCCAUUUGCUAGAGUUGACAAUAGAGAUUCCAUAUCAUGGUAAGAAAAAAGUUUAAGGGACAAGGGACUGUAUGGUAACUGCUAAGGAUUUAGAGAAUAAACCUAGACUAGAAGCUUCAGUUGUUUACCUUUCCCCCCAUAAUGGCUGUUCUCUCUUAAUCUAUUCGGUGGAACUUUCAAAACAACUUUCUAGAAAUAAAUUCUCACAUAUUUACUGGAAGGUGUUUCAAAUAUGAAAUAAUGAGAUGUUACCACCUUGUCAAGUAGUGGCUUCCUUUCCCCCUUUAAUGGUUAUUUACUUUGUUUUCCAAUUAAUAAUCUUCCACUGACAGAUGUGAUCAUCUUGACUAAUAUAUUUCACUGUGUACAAAAUUCAGUUCUGUAAUGACUUAGAAAUUUUAUUCACUUUCUUCCAUAGCUUCAGUGGUAAAUCUCUGGGAGAGUUGGCCCGAGGUAGAUUUUGCAUUUUUGAACAUUUUCCACAGGAAAAGGAUGGUCAAAACCCAAAUUGUUGUUGAAAUUACAAUUCGUAUAGUUCUGUAUAUACAUUCAUAAAAUGCACAAUUUGUUUUUCCUCUCUUUAGUUGAUGAAAUUAUGAUUAAUGGGCUGCAGCCAAAUUGCAUUAUUCUGGCUAUAACUCCCGCCAAUCAAGAUAUAGCAACAUCUGAUGCUAUUAAACUCUCUAGGGAAGUUGAUCCAACAGGUAUUACUUUCUUGUUUCAAUUUUUGUUUACAGCUCAAUCUAUUCGAGUAUUCAU